rnacentral:rRNA from 1 species
UACGAAGGGGGCUAGCGUUGUUCGGAAUUACUGGGCGUAAAGCGAGUGUAGGUGGUUGCCGUAGUCAGGUGUGAAAGCCUUGAGCUCAACUCAAGAAAUGCACUUGAUACUGGGCGACUAGAGGACCGGAGAGGAUAGUGGAAUUCCCAGUGUAGUGGUGAAAUACGUAGAGAUUGGGAAGAACACCAGUGGCGAAGGCGGCUAUCUGGACGGUUUCUGACACUAAGACUCGAAAGCGUGGGGAGCAAACAGG